rnacentral:rRNA from 1 species
AAAGAUUAAGCCAUGCAUGUCUAAGUAUAAGCAAUUAUACCGUGAAACUGCGAAUGGCUCAUUAAAUCAGUUAUCGUUUAUUUGAUAGUACCUUACCACUUGGAUAACCGUGGUAAUUCUAGAGCUAAUACAUGCUAAAAACCCCGACUUCGGAAGGGGUGUGUUUAUUAGAUAAAAAACCAAUGCCCUUCGGGGCUCUUUGGUGAUUCAUGAUAACCUAACGGAUCGCAUGGCCUUGCGCCGGCGACGGUUCAUUCAAAUUUCUGCCCUAUCAACUUUCGAUGGUAAGGUAUUGGCUUACCAUGGUUU